GGCCCAAGUUAGGAUUAGGACAGUGGUUUUUCAGUCCGGAGAUCCAGCCACAACUAUUUUUGUCUGUUUUUAUAGCAAGCCAGAGUCUUCGGGUGCAGCUCUGGGACAUCUAAAGGGCCUGGAGAAAUUCAGGCGGGGCCAGUGCUGUGGGCGUGGAAGAGACCCUAGAGAGCCUUGACUGUGAGGACUGAGGGCCUCCUUUGUUGCCCAGGCUGGAGUGCAGUGGCUAUUCACAGGUCGAUAAUGCAAUAAUGGUGCACACUAUAGUCUUGAACUUCUGGGCUCAUGUGAUCCUUCUGCUUCAGCCUCCCAAAAAUUGCCACAGCCACCCCAACCUUCAGCAACUACUACCUUGAUCCGUCAGCAGCUACCAACAUCAAGGCAACAAGACCCUCCACCAGCAAAAGAAUUACAACUUGCUGAAGACUCAG